rnacentral:rRNA from 1 species
ACUCAAAUGAAUAGACGGGGGCCCGCACAAGCGGUGGAGCAUGUGGUUUAAUUCGACGCAACGCGAGGAACCUUACCCAGGCUUGACUUCUAGGGAAUCUUUGGGAAACCAGAGAGUGCCUUCGGGAACCCUAAGACAGGUGCUGCAUGGCUGUCGUCAGCUCGUGUCGUGAGAUGUUGGGUUAAGUCCCGCAACGAGCGCAACCCUCGUCCUUAGUUACCAUUAUUAAGUUAGGGACUCUAAGGAGACUGCCGGUGUUAAACCGGAGGAAGGUGGGGAUGACGUCAAGUCCUCAUGGCCUUUAUGCCUGGGGCUACACACGUGCUACAAUGGCCGGUACAAAGGGCGGCAAACCCGCGAGGGGGAGCUAAUCUCAAAAAACCGGUCUCAGUUCGGAUUGAAGUCUGCAACUCGACUUCAUGAAGUUGGAAUCGCUAGUAAUCGCGUAUCAGAAUGUCGCGGUGAAUACGUUCCCGGGCCUUGUACACACCGCCCGU